rnacentral:rRNA from 1 species
AUUGAACGCUGGCGGCAUGCUUUACACAUGCAAGUCGAACGGCAGCACGGACUUCGGUCUGGUGGCGAGUGGCGAACGGGUGAGUAAUACAUCGGAACGUGCCCAGUUGUGGGGGAUAACUACUCGAAAGAGUAGCUAAUACCGCAUGAGAACUGAGGUUGAAAGCAGGGGAUCGUAAGACCUUGCGCAACUGGAGCGGCCGAUGGCAGAUUAGGUAGUUGGUGGGAUAAAAGCUUACCAAGCCGACGAUCUGUAGCUGGUCUGAGAGGACGACCAGCCACACUGGGACUGAGACACGGCCCAGACUCCUACGGGAGGCAGCAGUGGGGAAUUUUGGACAAUGGGCGAAAGCCUGAUCCAGCAAUGCCGCGUGCAGGAUGAAGGCCUUCGGGUUGUAAACUGCUCUUGUACGGAACGAAAAGCUUCGGGCUAAUACCCUGGAGUCAUGACGGUACCGUAAGAAUAAGCACCGGCUAACUACGUGCCAGCCGCCGCGGUAAUAC